GAGGUAGUGACAAGAAAUAACAAUACGGGGCUUAAAGUCUUGUAAUUGGAAUGAUGGGAAUUUAAACCUCUUCCAGAGUAUCAAUUGGAGGGCAAGUCUGGUGCCAGCAGCCGCGGUAAUUCCAGCUCCAAUAGCGUAUAUUAAAAUUGUUGCAGUUAAAAAGCUCGUAGUUGAAUUUCUGCUGCAUCGCUGUGUCCCUUCGGGGUCUCUGCAUGUGGCUUAUUUCGGACGGAGUUCGCUUUGUCUGGAUGUUUACUUUGAGAAAAUUAGAGUGCUCAAAGCAGGCUUUUGCCUUGAAUAGUUUAGCAUGGAAUAAUAAAGUAGGACUUUGGUUCUAUUUUGUUGGUUUUAGGUACCAAAGUAAUGGUUAAUAGGAACAGUUGGGGGCAUUCGUAUUUAACUGUCAGAGGUGAAAUUCUUAGAUUUGUUAAAGACGAACUACUGCGAAAGCAUUUGCCAAGGAUGUUUUCAUUAAUCAAGAACGAAAGUUAGGGGAUCGAAGA
rnacentral:rRNA from 1 species